CCCGCUGAACUUAAGCAUAUCAAUAAGCGGAGGAAAAGAAACCAACAGGGAUUGCCUCAGUAACGGCGAGUGAAGCGGCAACAGCUCAAAUUUGAAAUCUGGCUCCUUUAGGGUCCGAGUUGUAAUUUGUAGAAGAUGCUUCGAGUGUGGCCCUGGUCUAAGUUCCUUGGAACAGGACGUCAUAGAGGGUGAGAAUCCCGUAUGUGACUGGGUGCCUAUGCUCAUGUGAAGCUCUUUCGACGAGUCGAGUUGUUUGGGAAUGCAGCUCAAAAUGGGUGGUAUAUUUCAUCUAAAGCUAAAUAUUGGCCAGAGACCGAUAGCGCACAAGUAGAGUGAUCGAAAGAUGAAAAGCACUUUGGAAAGAGAGUUAAACAGUACGUGAAAUUGUUGAAAGGGAAGCGCUUGCAACCAGACUUGCACGCUAUCGAUCAUCCGAGAUUUUUCCCGGUGCACUCGAUUGCGUUCAGGCCAGCAUCGGUUUUGGUGGUUGGAUAAAGGCCUUAGGAAUGUAGCUUCUCUCGGGGAGUGUUAUAGCCUUCGGUGCAAUGCAGCCUACCGGGACCGAGGACCGCGCUUCGGCUAGGAUGCUGGCGUAAUGGUUGUAAGCGACCCGUCUUGAAACACGG
rnacentral:rRNA from 1 species